rnacentral:snoRNA from 12 species
CAGCAUAUUUCCAAGGGCUAUGGCCAGCUGUGGCCAUGGGAUCUCCAACUGCAUGCGAGAGCAACCCAAAGACACUUUGACAGCACAGAUAGCAUAAAGCCUACGUGCAGCUGCCACGCACCUUUCCUAGAACU